GUUAAAAUAAUUAAGGGCACACAAAGGAUGCCUAGGUAGUAAGAGCCGAUGAAGGACGUGGUAAGCUGCGAUAAGCCUAGAUAAGUUGCAAUCGAACGUAAGAAUCUAGGAUUUCCGAAUGGAGCAAUCUAUUAAGAUGGAGUCUUAAUACGAAAGGGGGAACCGCGUGAACUGAAACAUCUAAGUAACGCGAGGAAAAGAAAGUAAAAACGAUACCCAAAGUAGCGGCGAGCGAACUGGGUCAAGCCUAAACCUUAAAUAUGUCAAGGAUACAGCCGUUGUAUUUAAGGGGUUGUGGGACAAAGUGUUGAAGAACUGUAAGAUAUUCAAUAUAGUGUAUUGAUGAAUUAGAAUUGUCUGGAAAGAUAAACCGUAGAAGGUGAAAGUCCUGUAUAAGUAAAUCCUUACACAUAUAACUUUGCUCCCAAGUAACAUGGAACACGAGGAAUUCUGUGUGAAUCUGUGAGGACCAUAUCUCAUAAGGCUAAAUACUCUUACUAACCGAUAGCGCAUAGUACCGUGAGGGAAAGGUGUAAAGAACCCCUGGAGGGGAUGAAUAGAACCGAAC
rnacentral:ncRNA from 1 species